UACGGAGGAUGCGAGCGUUAUCCGGAUUUAUUGGGUUUAAAGGGUGCGUAGGCGGACUGUCAAGUCAGCGGUAAAAUUGAGAGGCUCAACCUCUCCCCGCCGUUGAAACUGGUGGUCUUGAGUGGAUGAGAAGUACGCGGAAUGCGUGGUGUAGCGGUGAAAUGCAUAGAUAUCACGCAGAACUCCGAUUGCGAAGGCAGCGUACCGGCAUCCAACUGACGCUGAGGCAUGAAAGCGUGGGGAUCAAACAGG
rnacentral:rRNA from 1 species